GACGAACGCUGGCGGCGUGCCUAAUACAUGCAAGUAGAACGCUGAAGAGAGGAGCUCGCUCUUCUUGGAUGAGUUGCGAACGGGUGAGUAACGCGUAGGUAACCUGCCUUGUAGCGGGGGAUAACUAUUGGAAACGAUAGCUAAUACCGCAUAACAAUGGAUGACACAUGUCAUUUAUUUGAAAGGGGCAAUUGCUCCACUACAAGAUGGACCUGCGUUGUAUUAGCUAGUAGGUGAGGUAAUGGCUCACCUAGGCGACGAUACAUAGCCGACCUGAGAGGGUGAUCGGCCACACUGGGACUGAGACACGGCCCAGACUCCUACGGGAGGCAGCAGUAGGGAAUCUUCGGCAAUGGGGGCAACCCUGACCGAGCAACGCCGCGUGAGUGAAGAAGGUUUUCGGAUCGUAAAGUUCUGUUGUAAGUCAAGAACGGGUGUGAGAGUGGAAAGUUCACACUGUGACGGUAGCUUACCAGAAAGGGACGGCUAACUACGUG
rnacentral:rRNA from 1 species